rnacentral:rRNA from 1 species
GAUGAACGCUAGCGGCAGGCUUAACACAUGCAAGUCGAGGGGCAGCACGGGUAGCAAUACCUGGUGGCGACCGGCAAACGGGUGCGGAACACGUACACAAUCUACCUUUAUCUGGGGAAUAGCCCGAAGAAAUUCGGAUUAAUACCCCAUAAAAUAACAGAGUGGCAUCACUUAACUAUUAAAACUACCGGUGGAUAGAGAUGAGUGUGCGUCCCAUUAGCUAGUUGGUAGGGUAANGGCCUACCAAGGCGACGAUGGGUAGCUGGUGUGAGAGCACGACCAGCCACACGGGCACUGAGACACGGGCCCGACUCCUACGGGAGGCAGCAGUGAGGAAUAUUGGUCAAUGGACGCAAGUCUGAACCAGCCAUGCCGCGUGAAGGAUGAAGGCCUUCUGGGUUGUAAACUUCUUUUAUCUGGGAAGAAACCUCCGAUUUCUUAUUGGAGCCGACGGUACCAGAGGAAUAAGCACCGGCUAACUCCGUGCCAGCAGCC